rnacentral:rRNA from 1 species
UGGCGGACGGGUGAGUAAUGUCUGGGAAACUGCCCGAUGGAGGGGGAUAACUACUGGAAACGGUAGCUAAUACCGCAUAACGUCGCAAGACCAAAGAGGGGGACCUUCGGGCCUCUUGCCAUCGGAUGUGCCCAGAUGGGAUUAGCUAGUAGGUGGGGUAACGGCUCACCUAGGCGACGAUCCCUAGCUGGUCUAAGAGGAUGACCAGCCACACUGGAACUGAGACACGGUCCAG